CGGGGUGGAGUAACGCGUGGGUAACCGUGCCUCAUACAGGGGGAUAACAGUUGGAAACGACUGCUAAUACCGCAUAAGCGCACAGGAUCGCAUGAUCCGGUGCGAAAAACUCCGGUGGUAUGGGAUGGACCCGCGUCUGAUUAGCCAGUUGGCAGGGUAACGGCCUACCAAAGCGACGAUCAGUAGCCGACCUGAGAGGGUGACCGGCCACAUUGGGACUGAGACACGGCCCAA
rnacentral:rRNA from 1 species